rnacentral:rRNA from 1 species
GACGAACGCUGGCGGCGUGCCUAAUACAUGCCAGUCGAGCGGACGAAUCGAAAGCUUGCUUUUGAUUCGUUAGCGGCGGACGGGUGAGUAACACGUGGGCAACCUGCCCUGUAGACGGGGAUAACACCGAGAAAUCGGUGCUAAUACCGGAUAACACGAAAUGUCGCAUGACGUUUCGUUGAAAGACGGCGCAAGCUGUCGCUACAGGAUGGGCCCGCGGCGCAUUAGCUAGUUGGUGAGGUAACGGCUCACCAAGGCGACGAUGCGUAGCCGACCUGAGGGGGUGAUCGGCCACACUGGGACUGAGACACGGCCCAGACUCCUACGGGAGGCAGCAGUAGGGAAUCUUCCGCAAUGGACGAAAGUCUGACGGAGCAACGCCGCGUGAGCGAAGAAGGCCUUCGGGUCGUAAAGCUCUGUUGUUAGGGAAGAACAAGUAACGCAGUAACUGGCGUUACCGUGACGGUACCUAACGAGAAAGCCACGGCUAACUACGUG